ensembl:lncRNA
UUAGCUGAUAAGGUACUAGUUAGCGUUGUUAUUGAGAAGUCAUGCUAACUAACACUAUCUAAAGUUAAAUCCAGAGAGAGGUCAAAGGGCCAGGAAGGGUGUAUUGACCUGUAACAAAUUGAUAUACAGAAUGUCCAUGUUAUUGCCCCAUAGUGAGAGAUAUAUAGAUGCAGAAGGCUUAAUGUGCAUCCUCCAGAAGGCACCAUAUUCCCUACAUAGCGCACUACAUUUGACCAGGGCCUAUGGGGAAGCAGACCUGGUAUCAGCUAAUAAGGUACACAGGUUUCCAUUCAGAAGUGGUAGCGAUAAUUAGCUAAGGGGCCAUGGUUCCAUGAAACCUGAUAUCCAGCUAGUCUCUCUAUGAAAACGGCCCAUGCUGCCUCUCUCUAGACCUGCUUCAGUCAAUCAGGAUGAGUUAUUGGGAGCACAAUACUAUGGGAUCGGGUGUCCAUCUCUUGAAUUAAAACAAUGUUUCAGGGGUUAUAUAACAUAUUCAAGGACUCCAUUAUAAUAUAUUCUGAUUUUUUUGUCCAUAUUAGGCCUGUAAUUGCUGUUAAAACAGAUCGAAGAUGUUUUAUGUAAUGUGCCUUAUAUUAGGCUACGUAUUCAACGACUCAAUUAUACGCUACACACAUGAACUAUAGGCAUAGGCCACAGGGGGUUGGUUGCACCUUAAUUGGGGAGGACGGGCUCAUUUUAAUGCUGGAGUGACAUCGGUGGAAUGCUAUCAAAUACAUAAACAAUGUGGUUUGAUGCCAUUCCAUUCGCUCAGUUCCAGAUGUUAUUAUGAGCUAUUCUCCCCUCAGCAGCCUCCACUGGCGUAGUCAGAUUUCCAUCUAAUUUCUGUUUGCAUUAGGCUAAACCCGUCGCUGUUACAGGAUGCGUUACUAUAUAUCGCCUACAUUUUCCGUUAUAUCUGCAUUUAAUUAUUCAAGGCCAACAGAUAUGAGAAGAUGGCAUGAGGUACCGUUAGGGACAGAUGGCAUGAGGUACCGUUAGGGACAGAUGGCAUGAGGUACCGUUAGGGACAGAUGGCAUGAGGUACCGUUAGGGGCAGAUCUACAUUUGGGACUAAAGUAUUGGAGGGUUGUAAAACCUUUAUGUUUUUACUUUGGGGAGGGGUUGUAUUUUUUUACUUUGGGGAGGGUUGUAUUUUUUUUACUUUGGGGAGGGUUGUAUUUUUUUUUACUUUGGGGAGGGGUUGUAUUUUUUUACUUUGGGGAGGGUUGUAUUUUUUUACUUUGGGGAGGGUUGUAUUUUUUUACUUUGGGGAGGGUUGUAUUUUUUUACUUUGGGGAGGGUUGUAUUUUUUUACUUUGGGGAGGGUUGUAUUUGUUUAUUGGGCAGAGGGGAGUGUGGUGCGUUUUUUCACUGGUUUACAUUCAGUCUUUUGCACGUUUUAUUAUAUAAUUUUGUUCCAUCAUAGACAAAUGUACUAAUAUUUUUACAUGCACCUCCCCUAUAUCAAGGUGUUCUGGUACUUCCCUUAUGCACUACGCUUUCAUUUACUAUACUACAGGUCAAUAUAGUCUGCCAGUCUAAAUAUCUAUUCUGCCCUCUCCACCAUUCAUAGAGACAAUAGUGGAUUGUUUGUCCAGGUCUGCAGUAGACUAACUAGCAAUCAUACCACGCAUAAAAGCAUUCCAAGCAGCAUCAAUUUUCAAUAUGAAUCCACAAGAACAAAUAGGAAUAGCUGAUAAGCAGCUGAGAGGCCGGUUCAUGGCAUGAAAAACACAUUUAAACAUGAGACACGCAACUAAAAAUGCUCCCCUAUUAAUCUUGUUCAGGGACAAUAUAAUUAUCCUACCUAGACAAGCCUACAACAUAACACAACAAUGCAAUGAAUAAUUGCAUUAUUGUUUUCAAGGGAGUACAAAUUUCUACUCUAGGAUGCAGUGAAAAUGUCAUUGAAAUAAUGGUGCAAAAGCCCUAUGAUUUGAAUGUUUAGAAAGGUCUAGAAAGGCACAGUAGGAGACCAGUCUGGCUGCAUUUUUACCUCUGAUAUUGAGAUGAGCUGGCUGUUGCAGAUCAUCAUUCUCCCAAGUCGUCCUAUAAUAGUGUGGCCACAAAUGCUCCCAGCAAGCCCAGUUUCGCGCUCUGCCUCCUCUACAAUCUGAGUGGCUAUUCCUUGUACUAUAGCCAAAAUAUGUAUCAUUUAACUUUUAAAAUGUAUGACCUUUUAUGUGUGCCAUCAACACAACCAGUCACAAUGUCAUAACCUGUCAUGUCUACUCCCUCUCUCCGGUGCCCAACAUCCUGGUUUACUAACCACUGGUAAUGGUAACUCAUCUUUACGCACACCUGCAUCUCAUCAUCAGUCACACCUGGACUUCAUUACUCCCUGAUUACUUACCCUUUUAUAUAGCACUCUUUUGUUAUCAGUUAUCAGCCAGUAUUGGUUAUGUUUCCUUGUCAGACGGUUCCUCUUGUUUUGUAUCGGUCUAUGUGGGUUCAUAUUAAACUCACUGAGUUCCCCUGCUUCCCGACUCCCUGUGUCGACGUUACAGAGCCAGCACCCCAGCCCAUCCAGCAGUCCACCCAGGUCAGCGAUGCCACCAAUCAAUCCCUUUCUGAGAAAUACUGGUGGCCCACUUUGGAGCAGGACUCUGCACACUAUGUCAACUCAUGUUCACUAUAUACUCAAUCUAGAUCUCCCCGGCACGCACCAGCAGGAAAACUCCUUCACAUUCCAGUGCCUCAGCAUCCCUGGUCUCAUUUGUCCAUUGCUUUCAUCACUAAUCUCCACUCUGAUGGUUUAGGACAGAUUCUCAAUCAUAUUGUUUCAUCCCUCUCUCUGGUCUCCCUACCGCUCUCCUGGUCGCUGAGGCACUGU